rnacentral:lncRNA from 1 species
UUUUUAAUAUAUUUUUUAAAAUAAAAUUUUAAAAUUAUUAUUUGAUGUAGGUAUUGGGGUAGAAAAUGGAGUGUAGGAAUAACCUUACUCUUAUCAAUAUCUCUCGUAUAGAGGAGGAAACAUAUAAGCUUAUUGAAACACUACUUUUAUUUUCUAUAUACUAUAUGAUUACACGUACGUACACACACAAAAUCAUAGUCAUCAUCAUGUACAUACACGAGUGACCAAUAGAAGUAACGGCAACAAAGGUAUUUGUGAUAGAGAAUGCAGCUGAGGGUGCCUCAGCUUCUCCUGCUGGGCCAUUUGUUCCUGGUGCUGGUGGAGAAGAAGUGUUUGGGGUUGGUGAUGAAGGAGAAGAAGUGGUUGAAGGAGAGGGUGCUGGAGAAGAAGUUGUUGCAGGAGAAGGUGUUGGUGAUGUGUUUGUGGAGGGUGAUGGAGCAGGUGCUGAAUUGGGUGAUAAUGAUUGUGUGGGUGCGGGUGCAGGAGCCUGUUGUGCUAUGCAUGAGGUAGCCAAAAGCCCCAAUAUCAAAAACACUUUGACUGCAAGAGAACCCAUGUUUUAUUUAUAUAUAUGUUUUUGUGAUAGAGAAGAAUGUUGAGUGAAAUAUGAUUCCUCCAAAUAAAUAGUUUGUAAGAUAAUUGAUUUGUGUAAAGUUCAAGUCCAUAAUUGGGGGUAUAUAUAGUGUGCAAAUAUGCUUGUGUGUUUUCUUAGCGAAUCGGUGUCUGAUUAAUAAUUAGUCAAAUAAAAUAAAACACUACAUUUCCUUUUGUUUUGCAUGCAAUUUUCAUUUUCCAAUUGAUAUUUUUUAAUGAUAUUUUUGUCUUUUUUUAGCGAGGGCGGUUGUGACUUUAGAUGAGUAAUAGGUCAAAUAAAAUAAAAGACUACUUUUCCUUAUUUUUUAAAAGAUAUUAUUUCUUUAAUGCAAAUUUCUUUUUACAAUAAACAUUUACUUUGUGUUUGCAAGUGCAAGUUAAGUAAUACGACACUGGUUGUGUGCAGGCGAAGUUUCGACGUACGGUAUAACCGCGUUUAACCAUUCUCAAUUUGAUUUUUUCUCUGUUUCUAGGUUACCCAGUCAAAGAUUGAUUUGUUCACGUGACAGUGAAGGAUAAGGAAAGCGCUAUCUUUUAUAAUUAUUCGAUUAAAAGAAAAAGAAGCAAAGUUACAAAAUUAAAAGAUAAGAUAAAAUUUUAAAAUAAAUAGUAUUUUUUUUGGUUUAAAGUAAAUAGUUAAAGGUGUGAAAAACAGUUUUCUCAUUAAAAAGUUUAUAAAAAAAUUUAAUAGAAUUUAAUUUUAGUUAAAGAAAGAGUGCAAAGUAAAAGAAAAUUUAAAUCAUUAUUCUUCUGAUUCUAUUUAUAAGAGAAAAUUAAUUUGUUAAGUUUAUUAAAUAAUUAAUGUAUUUGAUUUAAUAUAUCGUCUAAAUAUAUUGAUUAUUCCAUGAAUAUAAAGUAUAAAUUUUCUCCCUAAAUAUAACCGGAGAUAGUAAUCAGCAAAUCCUAAAAAUUAUUAAGGUAUCUUUAUCUUUAAAAUACUGCAUGGUGCGACAAGUUCAAGGAAAUAUUCAAUUUAGCAAUUUGUUACAAAAAUGUUUGACAAAUGAAAUGUACUGGCGUCUGGCAAAAGUCCGGAAUCAGGGCCAAUUUGUUUUAGCUUAUAAAAAAUAGAUUUUUUAUUUUUAUUUUUGAAAAUGAAUUUUACAAAAAUAUUUUUUAAAAUAUUAAGAGUUUUUCUACAUUUGUUUUUUUAUAGAUUGAAUUGUUCAUUGUAUAACAUAAAUAUAGAUUAUUGGAGAUUAAAACAUACUCAAAAUCACAAUUUUUUCAAAAAGUUGUAUCUUAAAAAUGAUUUUUAUGAAAAACUAUUUGAAAUAGCUUCAAAAUUAAGUGAUUUUUUAAAAUUUUGAUAUCCAAAAAAAGUUUCGAUAAAAUGAUGAAAUACCUAAAAUAACAUUUUAAGAAUAACUAUUCAAACCAAAUUUUCAUUUGAAGCUUUUAUGAAAAGUUUCUUUGUAAAUAUCCAAAAAAAGUUUCGAUAAAAUGAUGAAAUACCUAAAAUAACAUUUUAAGAAUAACUAUUCAAACCAAAUUUUCAUUUGAAGCUUUUAUGAAAAGUUUCUUUGUAAAUUUUUUUUACACUAAAUUAUAUAACACUAUAAAAAUCAUUUUUAAAAAAGCCAAAACAAACGGGCCCUAGAUUGAUUCAAUAUGACAUUUUACAAAGUAAUUUGGGAUAUUAUUAAAUUUGAUUAAUUUGACAGUGUUAAUGAAUUAUUCUCUACGGAUCAUCUUCCAAAAGCUAUCAAUGCUUCUUUUUCUCGCUUUAACUCUGUUUGUCGAUGUUACUGUCAUCCUUGGAGACUAAUAAAAUAUUUGGGGUGAAGAGGGUCCCGAUAAUCAUGUGACUAAUGAUGUUGAAGAAAAAGAUAAGGAAGAAAAGGAUGUUGCUGCUGGUGAUAAUUAUGAAAAUGACACAAAUGCCUCUGUUGGCAUCUGAGUUGCUUGUUCUUAUUUUGUUUGAUUUUGUGGGCUUUGCCUUGGAUUUUUUUUAGCACCCUUGUGUGCUUUCGUAUGUACCCCUAACUCAUUUUCUGGUUGUUGAUUCUGGUUUCGAUAAAUGUCUGUUUGGUUUGUCAAUAUUCUAGCUAAAAGGGGGGAGUAGUGUGUGUAUAAUGUAUGUAUUUGUGUGUUGUUUGCCUUGGGUGUGAAGUGUUCCGGUUGUUUCAUUGAGGGGGAGUAUGGGCUCCGUGUGGCAGGGGGACUAAUACCUUGAUAGUUGAUCAUGCCAUUCAGGGGGAGUAUGGUGUUUGUGUGCUUAGGCUCUAUGGGUGCUUGCUGUAUAGUUGUGAUGUCAGACAUAAUGUCUUGGCAUUUUAUGUCAGAGAAUCUUUUCUCUAUGUGAUUUUUUUUUCUUUGAGGCUGGGUUUCUUCUCUAUAUUUCUGUUGCACGUGCCUCUGUUUUAUCUUGGUGGUAUACCAAGUUUAUGUGUGUUCUUUUUGUGAUUAUGAUUGCUGAUGUUGUGUGACUCUUUCUCCAUUUAUAUUAUGCAAAGGUUAUUUUAGCCAAAAUUUGCCAAAGGGGGAGAUUGUUAGGUAUGUGAUUUUAUGAUUGACAAUAAUUUUGUUAAAAUAUGUAUCACAACAAGAUGUUGAGCGAGAUGUCUUGACAUGUUGAUCAAACAUCUUUGCAGGAUCUGUUUUGCUUUUUGGAAGAUUUAUUUUAUUAUGAGAUCUCUGAAGAUUCUCUGAAUAUUCAACUAUCUUAUCUAACUAUCUGAGAAGGUUUAUUUUAUGAACACAUGGUUCUGUCCCAGCUGUGCGCUUGUUUCUUAAAAAGGAAUGUUGUGAAAUUUUACGAAACAUAUGAUCUUGUACCUGAUUUUAUGCAGAAGAUUCUACAGGAUUAGUGCAGCUGUCCAAAUUAGAUCUAUUGCGGUUUUUAAGCCUAAGCACAUGCUUACCAAAGGCUAUUUAAAGAGGACGUUACUAAACCUAAUUAACAGAAGUGAGAUCUACGCUUGAUAUUAUUGGAAUUAGGGUUUUAGUUGUUCUUUGUUAUUUCUUAUGAGCCACAAUUAUAUCACUUUGAUAUUAGAGUUGGUAUGUGUUUGAUUUGUAAUUGGUAAAUCACUCAUAAGCUUUUAAGCAGAGUGGGUUAUAUGUUUUAGAAGUGUGUUUUCCAUUAUUUGAUUAAAGUCAUUAUCAAUGUGUGUGAUUGAAGGGAAGUGAAAGGGGUCUCAUAUCUAGGAGAGUCUUAGAUAGAAAUAACAAGGGUAGUGAUUAGGUGCGAAGAUUGUAAACAGGAGGUUUUUUACUGAGGUCUUCAAACUAAUACUAUUAUAGUGGAUUUCCUUCCUUGCUUUGAUGCACCUAGUUGCACCGAACUGGGUUAACAAUCAUCUAUAAAAAAGUGCGCACAUAAAACAGAGUCGCCACAGAUGAUAUUUAUCCCAAGAUGGGGAAAGGAAUCACUGAGUAAACCUACAAAAAGGAUGAAUCUAAUGGUCUCGCAACCAAGAGAUGGGUAAGGGAGUCGAUCACGCAAGGGAAAAUUAUUAGCACCCCUCACGUCUAUAGUACUCUACAGGAUCCACUCUUGUUGUUCUGAUCGAAAAGGUGUGUUUAUUCUAAAACUUGUAAGAACAAAAAUUGUUCUACAACAGAUUCCUUGAUUUUGAUGAUAACAAAGGAUGAAACCAAAAAUGGCACCCUAACGAAAAGUUUCUAAGUGUGCAGGGUUCUAAAGAAAGAAGUAAUAAAUCUGAUGAUGUCAUCAGAUGCACAACAAGAUCAGAUACAAAUUCUCAAGUAUCAGAAGCAUCUGAAGUGGAAUCUCGUUCAAGAAAGUCUGACUCUGGACAAAACUGCAAAGUAUCAGAAGCAUCUGAACAUGAAGUAAAGUCUAGAAGCUCUGACUCUGAACAAAUGCCUUCUGUAAAUUCUGAAGUUAUCAGCGCCAUCUGAACUUUCAAGAGAUAACAUCAGAAGCCAGUUUCUCCAGAUACACGAAGACUCUAAUCAGAAUUGUUAAUCAUGAUGAAGUAACGUUUAAGCCAAGUUAAAGUUCUGCAAAUGGAUUUCCUCAAUUAGAAAGAGACGUUAAUCUCCACUUCCAAGAGAGAAGAUACUAAUUGUGGUAAGUAGUCACUUCUAAGAGAAAAAGUCUACUGCAGAAGCUAUUAAUGGAAUGGCGUAACUACAUCUCAAUAUCCAACAGAUUCAACGCUACUUCAACUCUACUUCAACUCCUAUAAAUAGAGAAGAAAUCUCAUUCAGUAAACACGAAGAAAUCACUAGCCAAAACUAUACUGAAAUUAUAUCACGCUCAAGAAAAACAUCUUUGUUCUUCAAAGAUUUUCACUAAGCUUUUGCUUAUCAAGUGAAAAAUUUGUUCUUAAGUUUGUAAUAUUUGCUUUCUUAGAAGCACUCUAGAUUACACAUCUUGUAUCUAAUUUUUAUUUGAUUUCCUCAAGUGACUCUUUGUAGUCUGUAGACUUGAGAGGACUAAGAGAUUUUCUUCUCUCUUAGGGGUUGUUUGUAAUCUUUCAAGAUUAGUGGAUUAAGUCCUUGUUGAAGGCGAAAUCACCUUGGCCGGGUGGACUGGAGUAGCUUUGUGUUAUAAGCGAACCAGUAUAAAAUCCUUGUGUGAUUUUCAUUUUGAAAAGCGCUUAUUUUUCCAAACAAUUCAAACCCCCCCUUUCUUGUUUUUCUCACCUUCAAUUGGUAUCAGAGCUCCGGCUCUGUUAUUGAUUUUCAAAUCAAACACUUAACCGUGUAGAGAGAUCCAGUGCGAGAAAAACAAAUGGCCCACUCAAAUGAGAAAGAUUCUUACAAUGCCAAGCCUCCUGUUUUUGAUGGAGAAAAGUUUGAUUACUGGAAAGAUAGAAUCGAAAGUUUCUUUCUGGGUUAUGAUGCUGACCUCUGGGACAUUGUCACAGAUGGAUACACACCUCCAGUCUUAAAUGGAGCUGAAGUUCCCAGAAGUAAGAUGUCAGAAGAUCAGAAACGUGUCUUCAAAAAUCACCACAAGGCCAGAACAAUACUUCUAAAUGCUAUAUCAUACAACGAAUAUGAAAAGAUCACCAACAGAGAGACAGCCAAAGAUAUACUUGACUCUCUGAAGAUGACCCAUGAAGGAAACUCCCAAGUCAAGGAGACGAAGGCUCUGGCGCUUAUCCAGAAAUAUGAAGCCUUCAAAAUGGAAGAUGACGAAGCUAUAGAGGCUAUGUUUUCCAGAUUUCAAACUCUUAUUGCAGGUCUUAAAGUGCUAGACAAAGGAUACACAACUGCAGAUCAUGUUAAGAAGAUAGUCAGAAGUCUGCCAAAGAAAUGGAGACCUAUGGUUACUGCUCUGAAGCUGUCAAAGGAUCUGAACAAUAUCAGCCUUGAAGAACUUGUUAGUUCUCUCAGAAGCCAUGAGAUAGAACUAGAGGAGGAUGAGCCUCAGAAAAGGAACAAGUCCGUAGCGCUAAAGUCCAGAUCUGAAAGACGGAAACCUGACAGAACCAAAGCUCUCCAGGCAGAAACUGAAGAUACUGACGACUCUGAACCAGAAGACUCUGAUGAUGAAGAAGAGUUGUCCCUACUAACCAGAAGAGUUAAGCAACUCUGGAAAAAGAGGAACAACAACUUCAGAAGACCAAGACCCAGAGGGGAUCGAUCAGAGUCAACUUCAAAAGGUAAAGCUAACAAAGAUAUUACCUGUUAUGAAUGUAAAGAAACAGGUCAUUACAGAAAUGAAUGCCCCAAGCUGAAGAAAGACAACCCUAGAAAAGAAAGCUUCAAGAAAAACACCUUCAGAACAAAGAAAGGACUGAUGGCUACCUGGGAUGAUAGUGAAUCUGGAUCAUCAGAAUCUGACUCUGAUGAACAGGCCAACGUAGCACUUAUGGCUACCACAUCCAGCAGCUCAGACGAAGAAUCUGAAGAGGUAUUUUCUGAACUUUCUCGAUCUGACUUAGAAUCAUGUUUGUCAGAAACUCUUACCUCUUAUCAGAAAUUAAAACAAAAGUUUAAAAACAUUAAAGGCUGUCUUAAAACAAAAUUUGAAGAAUGUAAUGAACUUGAGAUAACAAUUCUAGCACAUGAAGAUACAAUCAGAUCUUUAACGUUAGAAAGAGAUGGAGCAAAAACAAAAAGCUCAGAAUUAGAAGAAGCGUUGUCUCAAGCACCACAAACUUCAAAUAAAAUUAUUUAUAAAUAUGAAGAAGCCUUUCAAGAAUUUCUGAAGAAUGGGAUAGAUAGGAGUAUUAUGGCAUCCAUGAUUUAUGGAGUAAGUCAGAACAAUAAAAGGGGAAUUGGGUAUGAUCCUAAGGAAGAUAAAACUUCUACAAGUGAUCAAAUUAAAUCUCCUUUUUCAUAUCACUACACACACACACAAGAACACAAAUUUAAAAAUGCUAGAAGACCCAAAGUUAUAAGAAACUCUGGGAAAACUAAUCUAAAAGGACCCAAGAGAUUCUGGGUACCGAAAGAUAAGAUUAUCUAUGUUGCAGAUAUCCUAUGCAGCAAAGUUCAGACACCAGUCAUGGUACCUGGACUCUGGAUGCUCGCGACACAUGACGGGAAGAAAGUCUAUGUUCCAAAGUCUGGAACUUAAAGACGCUGGAUUUGUAGGCUUCGGAGGAGAUCAGAAAGGAAGGAUCAGAGGCUCCGGAACUAUUGGUAAUGGUACUCUUCCCUCUAUAUCUGAUGUUCUUUAUGUAGAAGGAUUAAUGCAUAACUUGUUAUCCAUAAGUCAAUUAAGUGAUAACGGUUAUGAUGUAAUCUUCAAUCAAAAAACAUGUAAAGCCAUUAAUCAGAACGAUGGCUCUGUCCUUUUCACAGGCAAGAGGAAAAACAACAUUUACAAAAUAAAUCUUUCUGAUUUAAAAGAUCAAAAUGUUAAAUGUCUAAUGUCAGUUCACGAAGAGCAAUGGGUAUGGCAUAGACGCUUGGGCCACAUUAGCAUGAGGAAACUUUCUCAGCUAACUAAACUCGAGUUAGUCAGAGGCCUACCUAAACUGAAGUUUUCUUCAGAUGCUCUGUGUGAAGCUUGUCAGAAAGGAAAAUUUUCAAAAACAUCUUUUAAAAAGAAAAAUGUUGUUUCUACCUCUAAGCCUCUGGAACUUCUUCACAUUGACUUAUUUGGUCCUGUGAAAACAGCAUCAGUUAAUGGAAAGAAGUAUGGACUAGUCAUUGUUGAUGAUUACAGUCGCUGGACAUGGGUAAAAUUCCUAAAGCACAAGAGUGAGUCUCACUCUGUAUUCACCAGUUUCUGUUCCAAAGUGCAAAAAGAAUUUGACUCUAAAAUUAUUAGAGUCAGAAGUGAUCAUGGUGGAGAAUUUGAAAACAAAGAUUUUGAAGAAUUAUUUGAUUCUAAUGGAAUAUCCCAUGAUUUCUCCUGCCCUAGAACUCCACAACAAAAUGGAGUUGUAGAGAGGAAGAAUAGGACACUCCAAGAGAUGGCCAGAACCAUGAUCAAUGAAACUAAUGUAGCAAAGCACUUUUGGGCAGAAGCUGUAAAUACAGCGUGUUACAUUCAGAAUAGAAUCUCUAUAAGACCUAUUCUGGAAAAGACUCCCUAUGAACUGUGUAAAGGAAGAAAACCAAACAUUUCAUAUUUUCAUCCUUUUGGAUGUUCUUGCUUUAUAUUAAAUACUAAAGAACAUCUGAACAAGUUUGAUUCCAAAGCACAGAAAGGUAUUAUGUUAGGAUACUCAGAACGCUCUAAAGGCUACAGAGUAUACAACACAGAAACCAAAAUUGUGGAAGAAUCAAUUCAUGUCAGAUUUGAUGAUAAGCUUGACCCUGAAAAGUCAAAGCUAGUUGAAAAGUUUGCAGAUUUGGAAAUCACUCUUGUAGAAUCUGAUAAAACUCCAGAAGCAACUGUCACUCAGAACUCUGAAGAAAUUAAAUCUCCAGAAAUCCCAAAGAAAGUCAAAAGUCGUAUCAAUGUAUCUGAAGAUUUGAUUCUGGGAAACAAGGACGAACCUGUCAGAACCAGAUCUACCUUCAGAACUUCUGAAGAUAUUCCUCUGGGACUAGUGUCUCUGAUUGAGCCUACGUCUUGUGAUGAAGCACUUCAGGAUAACGACUGGGUGGCAGCUAUGCAAGAAGAAUUGGAUCAAUUCUCAAAGAAUGAUGUCUGGGAUCUCGUUCCUAAACCCAGAGGCACUCACGUCAUUGGAACCAGAUGGGUUUUCAGAAACAAGCUGAACGAGAAAGGAGAAGUUGUCAGAAACAAAGCUCGACUGGUAGCUCAAGGUUACAGUCAACAAGAAGGUAUUGACUAUAAUGAAACCUUUGCUCCAGUCGCGAGGUUAGAAUCUAUUCGUCUUCUUGUAUCUUUUGCUAUUAAUCAUUCUAUUAAAUUAUAUCAAAUGGAUGUCAAGAGUGCAUUCCUUAAUGGUUAUAUAUCAGAAGAAGUGUAUGUCAACCAACCUCCAGGUUUUGAAAAUUCAAAUUUUCCAGAACAUGUUUUUAAACUUAAGAAAUCCUUAUAUGGACUUAAACAAGCUCCCAGAGCUUGGUAUGAACGAUUAAGCAAUUUUCUUCUGGAACAAAAUUUUAUCAGAGGGAAAGUUGAUUCUACACUCUUCUGUAAAAACCUUAAUAAUGAUCUCAUGAUAUGCCAGAUUUAUGUUGAUGAUAUUAUUUUUGGUUCUGCUAAUAUCUCUGUUUGCCAAGAAUUUUCUAAGUUAAUGCAGGCAGAAUUUGAAAUGAGUUUAAUGCAAGAACUAAAGUUCUUUCUGGGAAUUCAAAUUAAUCAAACUCCAGAAGUCACGUACGUCCAUCAAAGUAAAUACAUUAAAGACGUUCUGAAGAAGUUUGACAUGACUGAAUGCAACUCUGCAAAAACUCCCAUGCACCCAACUUGCAUUCUGGAAAAGGAAGAGGUAAGCAACAAGGUUUGUCAGAAGCUCUAUCGAGGUAUGAUAGGCUCUCUUCUCUAUCUGACUGCUACUCGUCCUGAUAUUCUCUUUAGUGUCUGUCUUUGUGCCAGAUUCCAAUCAGAUCCUAGAGAAUCUCAUUUAACAGCAGUUAAGAGAAUUCUUAAGUAUCUGAAAGGAACUCCUAACCUGGGCCUGAUGUAUGAGAAAACAUCAGAGUAUAGACUUUCUGGUUAUUGUGAUGCAGAUUAUGCAGGAGAUAGAAUAGAACGAAAAAGCACAUCUGGAAAUUGCCAGCUUCUGGGAAACAAUCUAAUCUCCUGGGCUAGCAAAAGACAGUCAACUAUUGCUCUAUCAACUGCAGAAGCAGAAUACAUCUCAGCAUCACUGUGCACAACUCAGAUGCUCUGGAUGAAGCAUCAGCUAGAAGAUCUACAAAUCUUUGAGAGUAACAUUCCUAUCUUUUGUGAUAAUACUGCUGCUAUUUGUUUAAGUAAGAAUCCCAUUCUACAUUCCAGAGCCAAACACAUUGAAAUAAAACAUCAUUUUAUCAGAGACUAUGUUCAGAAAGGGAUAGUAACAUUGAAGUUCAUUGAUACAGAACAUCAAUGGGCAGAUAUCUUUACUAAGCCUCUAGCUGAAGAUAGAUUUCUUUUUAUCUUAGAACAUCUGAACAUUAAAAAUUGUCCUGAAUGAAGUAUGGCUCUGAAAAUGUAAAAUGUGACUCUGAUGUAAACAAAUGUACUUCUGCCUCUGACUCUGAUACUUCUACCAAGUUAAGAAGAUAUCUGAGUUAGAAAUCUCCAGGAACCAAUCCUUUGGUAUUCCUGAAGAUCAGAUACAUCAACACGUGGAGCACUUAGCGUCCAACCCUAGAACUUCUAGACAGCUGUCCAGAAGAAAAUCAAAGGGAAACGUUUGAGAUCUCCUCGAGCAGUGUGCAUACUGUUGGGAUUAGACAUUCAUUAAUUAGCCUUAAUCAUUUCUCCCCCAAGCGUGCUUACUUGAGCUUUGUGCUAACGCAAUAUUGUGUGUCGUUUUGCAUGUGUUUUAACUUAGGGUAUUUAAACACUUUUCUCACUUUUCACACACUUUUCACUCUCACUCACUCUCAAACCCUCUCUAAAACCCUAAACCUCUCUGAAGCAUUCUCUGCAAACUCUCAAUCUUCAUCUUCUUCUUCACCAUGGACGCUCAACAACAAGAAGUGUUUAACUUUUCUCAACAAAUGGAAUCAAGCUCAACUGCUCAAACCUCAAGCAUUCCAACUCCAACGGUUACAGGCGUCACCAUCACCCCUGUUUACAAAGAACCUCACGUUCUUGACCGUGAACGCCAUAUCAACCUUUCAACCCCUUUUGAAGGUUUGGACGUGUUGUGUGAAUCGCUAGUUGAUUUCGACAACCUAAGAAGAAAUGGCGUUGAUCUAACUGGAGAACUUCGUCAACAAGGGUGGGAAAACUAUUUCCAAAGACUUUAUGGUCCCAUUUACCCACUUCUCGUCAAGGAGUUCUGGAGACAUGCAGAUGCAGAUGACAACUUCAUCGUCUCAUAUGUUCUGGGGGUGAAGAUUGUUAUUACUGAAGGGUCUAUUGCCUCCUUGUUGAACAUGGAGCGAAGUGGAGGAAAAAGGAUUUACAACAUUCCUCCUAGGUCAAAGCGCAUUACAGAUGUUAUCAACCCAACAAUCUUCAAACCCAACGUUGAAGGAAACCCUUCUAAAAACAAAGAGCUACACCAGAACCUCAGAGUGUGGCUGAAGAUUAUUCUGGGAACCAUUCACCACCGUCCAGCCUCUAACUCUUCUGACUACAUCAAUGCAGACCAGAAAUGCAUUCUGUACUGCAUUCAGAAGGGUGUGAAGAUCUCCCUCCCUGCUCUCCUUUUCAGAUAUCUGAGAGAUUCGGUCAGAGAAACCAGAAACAACAUGAAGCCCAGAUCCUACAUUCCUCUGGGAAGAUUGCUAUCUGAUGUCUUCAUUGAGCAUGGACUGGUAGACCAUCUGGAAAAGACAAAACUGAUGGAUGAUCUGGCAAUAGAUGUGGGGAAGCCUCUGAAUGCCAGAAACCUCAAGAGUAUGGGGAUAAUCAAGAAAAUUCAAGUCAGGCCAACUCUGGAUACAUCCUGGGAUAGUUUGAAAGAUCAGAGGAAGAUGCCUCAUGGCCUUGCCAGAUUCUUCAAGAAUGAACCCAGAGACGCUGUUGCUAUCUAUCUUCAUCGUCUGCUGGAAGAAGGUGUUGACGUCUCUGAUUUCAGCCUCGACGACUGUCUGGACUCUGAAGAAGACUUCGUCAGAUACAAGAGAGGUCUUUCUGAAAAGAAGGUAGCAUCUCAGGCAAAGAAGGCCAGACUCGGAGAAACUUCUGGAAGCAAAUCUUCAGCUCCUCUGAAUAUCUCUACUGGUAAGUCUGUUCCUCCUGUUACCUCUAAUCCUCUGAUGGCUUCUUCUAACCCUCUCUCUUCACAACCUAUUUAUACCACCUCUGAUAUUUCACCCUCAAUCACCAGAACCUCCCAACCUACACCAGUUCUAAAUAUAGCCCGUACAUUCAUACCUCCCUCUGAACCUAAACAAACCCACCAAAGCACUUCAUCUUCAUCAUCCUCAGCACCAGAAUCACCCCCAUAUGUUUCCCUCUCAUCUGACCCAGAAUUUUCUGACCCUGAUUCCCCAACCAUAGCCACAAUUUAUGCUCAUAGACUUGCUUCACAACAAACACAAACACAAUCUGAAGCAACUUCACCUCCACCACAACAAACAACCACCAUACCUUCUGAAGACCAACCCUCUGACCAUCCCACUUCUGAUAUCAACCCACCAAACACCUCUGCUGCACCUGAAUCUGAAACUGAAACUGAACCUUUAGAUUUAAAUCCUCUUUACGCUUCACCCCAAACAUCUGAACCUCAACCUGAAUCAGAAACUGAACCAGAACCUCUAACUCUAAAUCUCAGCCCUCCAACAUCUCCACCUCAUACCUCUGAACCUGACCUUUCUGUACCUACCCUUGAGGAAGCCAUCAUGCUGGUCGCAGGGGCUUCAGUACAAAAGGUCAAGUCUCUGACCACUAACUCUGAAGUCAGUGAUGAUCCUGACUCUGUAAGGACACACUGGAACAGAGUCAUUGGCUGGAUGACCUCUGAGUCUUUUAGGCUGAAGAGUAUCUCUGAACAAGUCAGAAAUGGCUACAUCAGAGAUGCUGAGGCAAGACUCCAAGAGAGAUUAGCCAGAGAAGCUGAAGCUAGAAGGCUAGAGGAAGAGAGAUUGGCAAAGGAAGCUGAAGAAGAAGCAAGAAGACUGGAAGAAGAAGAAAAAGCUCGUCAAGCUGAAAUCCUAAGGGAAAAGGAAGCUGAAGCUAAGGCUCUGGCGGAUGCAGAAGCCCAAGCUGCUGCUGAAGCUGAAGCUCAGCAGGCUCUGACUCUGGGGGAGUCCUCUUCUGUGAUCCCUAUGGUUCUUCAGACUCUGAAAGAACUUAAGCAAGAUCAGAAUGAACUCCGGGCCAGAAUGGACAAGCAAGAUACUGUCAACGACAACAUCCAGAACAUGCUUGCUAUGCUGCUUCAGAGAAUGCCUCCGCCUCCGAACCCUUAGGCACUUAGGAUUUAUUUUGCUUGCCUGUUGUUUUAUUUUCUCUGAAUCUGAUGUUUUCUAGUUCUUGUUGCCUUUGUGCUUUUAUCUGAAUACAAGUUUUUCUCUUAAUUUUUUUUUUUUUUGCUAUGUCUUUUUGAUUCUGACAAAAAGGGGGAGAAGUCAUUAAUAGCUCUGAUGAAAAUAUUGUCUAAAUACCUUAAGCAUUCUGCAACAUAUUUUUCUUAAAAAUAAAUUUAUCUAACCUGGACUUAAGAAAUUGCAGAAGGUAUCAAGAAACCUCUUUACUUAGAAGCUCUGGUAAGAACUUCUGAACUCCCUAGCACUAUCUCAGGGGGAGCUUCUGUCUAUCUGAUCUGAUAUUAUUCAUGUUUCAUCUGCUAAUUAAGGUUGUUUUGUCAUCAUCAAAAAGGGGGAGUUUGUAAGAACAAAAAUUGUUCUACAACAGAUUCCUUGAUUUUGAUGAUAACAAAGGAUGAAACCAAAAAUGGCACCCUAACGAAAAGUUUCUAAGUGUGCAGGAUUCUAAAGAAAGAAGGAAGAAAUCUGAUGAUGUCAUCAGAUACAAAACAAGAUCAGAUACAAAAUAUCAAAUGAUCAGAAGCAUCUGAAGUGGAAACACGUUCAAGAAAGUCUAACUCUGAGCAAAACAGCAAAGUAUCAGAAGCAUCUGAACAAGAAGUAAGCUCUAGAAGUUCUGACUCUGAACAACGCUAUCUCUAAGCUCCAGAAGUUAUCAGCGCUAUCUGAAGAAACUAUCUGAACUCAAGAGAUUAACAUCAGAAGCAAGAUUCCAAGAUUCUCCAGAAACACAAAUACUCUGAGCAUGGAAUUGCUAAUCAUGAAAGAGUAACGUUUAAGUCAAGAAAAGAUUUGCAAAUGGAUUUCCUAAUUGAGAAAGAGACGUUAAUCUCCAAUCUCAAUAAAGAAAAUACUACUUGUGGUAAGUAGUCAUUUCAAGAAGAAAAAGUCAUCCUGCAGAAGCUAUUUAUGUGAUGGCGUAACUUCAUCUCAAUAUCCACCAGUUUCAACUACUACCUCACUGAUCUAUAUAAAGGAUUGAGAAUCAACUUUCAAAAAAAUAUACUAGCUAACAAGUCAGUAAGCCAACAAGCCAAAAUUAUACUGAAACACCAAGUCAAGAAAAACAUUCUUUCUCUCUAAGAUAUUCACGAAGCUUUUGCUUAUAACGUGAAAAACUCUUGUUCUUAACACUGUAAUAUUUGCUUUCUUAGAAGCACUCUAGAUUACAUAAAUCUUUCAUUUAUUGUUUGUUGAUUUCCUCAAGUGACUCUGUGUAGUCUGUAUACUUGAGAGGGCUAAGAGAUUUUUAUCUUAGACGUUGUUUGUAAUCUUUCAAGAUUAGUGGAUUAAGUCCUUGUUGAAGGCGAAAUCACCUUGGCCGGGGGGACUGGAGUAGCUUUGUGUUAUAAGCGAACCAGUAUAAAAUCCUUGUGUGAUUUUCUUUUUGAAAAGCGCUUAUUUUUCCAAACAAUUCAAACCCCCCCUUUCUUGUUUUUCUCACCUUCAAAACUUACCAACUAAAAGGGAAUGCAUGCAGAAAGAUUGAAUUAUUUACAAAAUAAAAAGAUUUUUUUUUAUUAUUGCGCUCGCUUAGGUUUUGCAACCCAAUGCCUAUGCAUCAAUAAAGAAUCAUACCACCGUAGUUCUUCUCAAAAAAUUUGGUUUGUUGGUGCUUUUUAUGGGUAACCACCCUUAUUGAAAAUUUUCAUAAGAAAAGCCAAGCGGCAAAAUAAGUUUAAUUAGUUGAGUAUUUUAUUGAGAGAAUACAUCAAAUGAUCCACCCAAGGCAAAGAGAUCCUAUGGGGAACAUGUUAUCCACAAAUGGAAAAGAGAUAUAAGAAGAUGACAAUCCAUAUCAAGUCAUGGAACAAACAAACAAAAAAACACAAUACCAUAUCAAAUCAUGGAAGAACAGAUAAACAAUACCAUAUCAAGUCAUGAAGAAAAAUAAAAGACAAACAAUUCCAUAUCAAGUCAAGGAAUAGACAAAGUAAUAACAAUCCGUAUCCAUUCAUGGAGAAAAUAAAUAGCACAAAAACAGAUAAACAAUCCAUAUCAAGUCAUGGAAGAAAGAUUGAGAGAAAUCAUAUUAAGUCAUGGAAGAGAAAGUAAAAUAGUGGCAAUCCAUAUCAAGUCAUGGAGAAAAAUAAAAGACAAUAACAGAUAAAUAAUCCAUAUCAAGUCAUGGAAGAAAGAAACAUAGAAAUGUUAUUCAAUUAACAAAAGUCUCAAUAUCAAGAAUGAGUUCACAUUGGUAUUGAAUCCAUGGUAUAAGCACCCAAGUACACAAACAUCAUGCAAAGUUGUAAAGUGAAGUUAACACAAGUAUGUGAACAAUUAGAAAUGGAAAAAUACAUAGUAUGUGAAUGAUAUCAAAAGAAAAUAAAUAGGGUCAAUUCAUAUAAGAAAAACUCAAGACAUCUCAGAGGCACACUCAAAGAUUGAGGCGACUAAAUGAUCAAAAUCAAACCCUAGUCAUGCUCUUAAUGGCUAACGAAUUUCAAGCAAGUAUAUAUGAAGUAAUAUUAUGAGAAAAUGGUACCAAACCACACAAUUCAGAAGUAUAGGAUAUUCAAACUUCACAUAAAAAUCACUCAAACAUUAAGAAUGAACCAAACAAACUAUGCUCCAAGAUAGGUAAACAAUCACACAAGCUCAAAAAGCUCAGACAAGAAGUAAACAAACUAUGAAGCAAACACAUGACAUCAAGAGAUGUAUGACUUGUGCAAUAAGUUAACUCAAGAUGAGGUUCAGGAAUAACAAGGGAAGUCAUUCAAACUUCACACACAUAUUAAAGUCAAGUAACUUGGAAAAUAAUAAAGAUAUCAUCCUAGAAAAAGAAAUCAUUUAUCAAAAUGAAAUAGGAUAAGUAAGGGUAAAGAGAGGGAUGCUUAGGUGAUGGGACAUUAAAAAAGAUCUUCAAAGAAACAAAUACAACCGUCAAAUUCAAGAGGUAUAAACAAGCAAACAACCUCAAAGUUUAUGCAUAACUAGUAAGUCAAAAGGUGGGCAUCAUCCAAGUAAGGAGUCCUUUGUCCAACCAAAGUAAAUGGGAAAUACAAAAUGAAAUGGAUACAUGAAUAAAUGAAGUGAGAACAACAUAAAACCAUACAAAAAAUGGAUCCCAAUCUCCUAAGAGCUUCACCAUCUACUAAACUCAAAAUUAGGUCAAGAAAAGAAGAAUGUAGCUCUUAAUAUGUCAUCAUGAUGAAGUGGUAAUGGAAUACCAUUCAAAGAAUCAUAAGAGCAAGGUAAAAAUAUACCAAGACCAAGGAAGUUAGAAUCAAAAGAAAUGAGGAGUAAAAAACAAUUGGACCGAUAAUACUCAAGUUGGAAUGCACAAGACACCAUCUAAACUAUGAUCUCAAAGGCAAGCAAAUAGGAUUCAAGAUAAUCAAGCAAAUAUGCAUCAAUUGGAGACACCUGAAAUGGUCCAAAUGAAUGAAUUUAGGACUCAUAAUGAUGAUGAAGUAGUUAAUCAAGGAGGGGAAAUAUAUCCCACAUGGUUGCACAAGUGCAUACCAAAAUAAAUCAUCUAGGUGCAAAAUGUAUCACCAGAAAACAAGCAUGCUUGAAUAAUUAAAUAAAAAUAUUUAGAAGCAUGGAAAAAUUAUGAAAAAUUAAACAUGGAAAGAUAAAGUCAUAAACUCAAUGUGUUCCAAAGAUGUAUUUAAAAUCAUGUGCAAAUGAUGUUCAAGAAAAUCAAUCAUUCAAACAAUGCACCAUUAAUUGGUCAUCCCAAGUAAUCUUCAAAAAUAAGUUCAGAAACAAUCCAAAAUUAAUAAUCCAAACAUCAAAUGAAAACCCAAAUGACCUAUAUUCAUAUGUCUAUAUGUGUACAAAAGAUUGGAUCAAAAUUCAAAUGGGAAGAUCCAAAAUCGAACCCUAACAAAUAAAACGAGGUUAAAUAAACAUAAUUAAAUAUAAAAGUCAAAACAUAUAUUAAAAUAAAUCAAAAAUAAAAACAUGGAAAUAUGGAAAAUUAAAUAAUACUAAAAAUAUCAUUCAUGAAUUAUUUGGGAAUUUUUAGACCAAGGGAGGUAAUUUAAAUAAAAUCAAAAGAAACAAUAAUCAAAUAAUAAAAGAAAAUGGAAUGGGGGUGCAUAUAAGAAAAUGGACCAAAGGCAAUCUGUUAACAUGAACAUGGCCCAAAAUAAAGGGGUGGGGAAAGCAACGUUGCACGCAGCCCCGUCCAAUAAUAAAUCAGAAAAAUAAAAAGGAAAAUGAAAUGGAGGGUGUCAUGCUUCAUGUGGAACCUUCCCUUAAUCGGUCACCCAACUCACUUAAAUGCUGGAAGACAAAACCAAACCAUGGCCAAUCAAAACACGCCAUGCACUCAUCUUCAACCUUGUCCAUGCACCACAACGAGUUUACAAACCCUAAAACCCGAUUUCAACAUGCCACCUUCUUUCUCACACAACUUCCUCAUCUCUCAACCAAAUCACACGAAGUUUGAAUAAAAAAUAUAGUACACAAAUGGUAGAACAUCAUGGCAUACUUAGUUUUUAAAAAUGGACAAAGGAGCAUGGAGAUGAAUGAGCAUGAACAUACAGGUUCAAACAAAAUCAAACAUCAUUCAAACAAAGUUAUACAAGGACAAAGGAGCAUGGAGAUGAAUGAGCAUGAACAUACAGGUUCAAACAAAAUCAAACAUCAUUCAAACAAAGUUAUACAUGAAAUUAUGAGUCUAGCUCCAUGAUCCAUUCCAAGAGUGGAUCUUCUAGAUGCAGAUGAAUGAGCUUAAGCAUGGUGAAUGGCUAGCAUGAAGAAGCAUAAAGUGAGGGAGACUUACCUAGUGGAGAAUGCCCACUGCACCUUGGAUUCUUGGAGAAAGAAGAUGAACAAGACCAGUAGGAAGAUGAUGAGCAGUGGUGAGCCAGGUAAAAGCUCAAAUGUAGCUUCAAUAAUGGAGAAAAAGUAGAGAAAAUGAAAAGGGUUCAGAUUUCCUAUACUUAUGUUCAGCCUCCAACCAACGUCCUCCUCUAGGUUUAGAGAGUAAAAAACCUUUUAUAUGAGCCCCAAGUGAGGGCAGAAGAGUCAACACACUUGGCCAAAGUUGAUAUCCCAAUUUUAGACAAAAUUAGAAUGAGAGUGAGGUGUGCAUUUUGCGUUUUAGAUGUGUUUUAGGUGUGCGGUGUGUCGUUUCAGGUUGUUGGAAUGGAGUGGAGAUAACCCAGAACUCUUGGGGACUUGGAGAGAGUGGAAAGAGAAGGAAAGGCAAAUUGGAAUAUAUCUAUAUUUGGCCCAAUUGAGGUAGCAUGUACAAGCAUGCAAAAGGUGUGUUGCUUGGUCAUAAAAAGCAUGGAAAGAAGGGUGGCAUGCGUGUGGGAAAGUUAUGCUACAAGUAAGAGCCAAAACAAUACCUAAACUCAAUGACAUUCAUAAUGUUGGGAAUUAAGGAUCAUUGAUGUUCAAGCCAACAUAACUUUAUGGUUCCUUGGCCAAAUGAGGGAAACUAGGGCUUUUUGGAAAGAAGGAAGGGAGAUGAACAAGUUUUAUGUUGGAAGAAAAAUGAAACAAAGCCUUGAAAUCCCUUAAAAAUGGCCACGAAAACAUUUGCUUGAAACUGCAUGCAUUCAUGCAAAUUAUAGGUCAAUUGGAAAUUGUGAGAUCCUAACUUGACAGCUUAAUAACUUGCUCAUCAAGCCACUAAAUGAAAAACUUUUUGAAGCAAAAAUAGAGGGGGGAAAUAGAGGGGGGAAUAUGAUCUAUAACUUUCAUGUUGAAGUCAAUUUAAAAUGAAACUUGCAUCUAGGUGGAAAAUGGCCAUCAAGAUGGUUGCUUGAAAUUGACCAAACACUUAGCAAAAUUUCACUAUCUUGUUGCAAGAACGCCAUGUUCUCCAAACCUUCAACUCAACUAAUUUCGAACGCAAGUCGCUUGAACCCUAAGCUUUCUUCACAAUCCUUCGAUUACCAUUACUUGUUUGACCGAACCUUCCGUUCUUCAAACUUUUCACUCAGCUGAAUCUGUGAAGCAAAGGUUAGUGUAAAAACCCUCAAUUCUUGAAGGAUAAAACCUCAAUGGUUUUAUUCAAGAAAAACCUACACAAAGUCUCAACCCAAACUAAGAUAAUCCAAUCUUAUUUGGACGUUAUCACAACAGUAAUGCACAAUGCUCAACAAAGAUUAUUAUGUGUGAUUAUUGAGAAAUGCAAUGCAAAAUGAAGAUGUUCUUGUGAAACCACAUAUAGAAAGUGAAAUCUUGUUAUUUUGUCGAAGAAGAGACACUUGAAUAUUUAUAUGAUGCAUGGACCAAAUAAAAACCAUAACAGAAAUAUUUUGCAAAGUUACACAUCAUAAAAUUAAGUAAAACAGGCGAUGAGUCGACUCAAACAGAGUUUUUCAAGGGUUGAGUCGACCUAUAACUCGACCUAUUCAGACCCGUGAUUACAUGGUUCAAAAUAAAAUAGGCAUUGAAUGGACGCAACAUGUGGAUGAGUCGACUCAUUCAAUUUUCCCAGGAUUGAGUCGACCUGUGACUCGACCUGUUCAGACCCGAGAGUUACGCUCUGAGUCAUUGAGUCGGCCUGUGACUCAACCUGUUCAGACCCGAGAAUUAUGCUCCGAAUCAUGAGUCGACUCAUAGUUCUUAAACUCCCAAAAAUGAGUUUUGAGAUGUGUUUUGACCAAAUUAAACCAAUCUCUUAUGAACCUAGGAUAUUAACGAUUAUCAAGUGCAUGAUUCACCUCUAUGAUAUGCUCCCAUAUGCCUGGACAUGCUGAACUUAUAUUUUGAACAUGUUAGAGGAUGGAUGCAUUCUAUAAUAUGAUGAUAUUGUCCAAGGUACAUGUUAUGGGCGAUUAGAAAGGUUUGACAUCAUUAAAAUAAGGACUAGGCAUAUUUGCCCUACUAUAAUAUGAUGAUAUUGUCCAAGGUACAUGUUAUGGGCGAUUAGAAAGGUUUGACAUCAUUAAAAUAAGGACUAGGCAUAUUUGCCCUCACAAAUUUUUGAUGAGAAACCAGCAGCCUGACACGGUCUCCCGUGUCAGCUGACACGUGCCAUGUCAAGACCAUGACAAAAGCCUUCAAAUUGAGAAUUGCAGGCGCUUGAAACGGCCGACCGUGGUGCUUUAUACAACCCGUGUCAGGAGCACUGAAGAAAAGGGUGAAAAUUAACAUUGGCAGAAGCCUGACACGGCCCGUGUCAGGACCACUGAAAACCACGCCCCGAAGAUGUUAAGUUACAUCAUCCUGACACGGCCGCCCAUGUCAGGCCUAUGGAUUUGAAAAUUUGAAAAUUUAUUGUAUAUUGUAUGGGCCCCACCCCUUAUUAAAACCCAAUAACCACUCAUUACACCCACUUAACACUUCCCAAAAAUAUGAUUUCAUUCAUUCUCCACUCAUUAUCUCUCACAAACUUCAUCUUCUCCACCAUCUCUCUCUCCAAAAACGUAAUCUUCCAUUAACCCCUCCCCCCCACACACACACACACAAAAAAAAAGCUUCCACCUUUACCACCAUAACAACCCCAAGUCACAAACUCCCUUCAUGAAUCCUUCUUCAUUUUUCGCCCUAAUCACACCCACAAUGUCUGUUUUCUCUAAUUCCAAUUUCGAAUUUAUCUUAAUUUUUGCAGAUACGAAAAUUCCCCUAUGGAGGAUUGUUCAAGGGUAGCAAAAAAUGGCCGAGAUCUCGUGGCCACAAAAGAGGAGCAGCCGUAAUCUGAACCCGCACAAUAUUGUCUUCGACAAUCCAGAGCAGGAGCAACAAUACUCCAUUCAUAGAAAGUGUAAGUUAACCCCACCAGGUACAUAUGCAAACAAACCCUUCAUGAUUUAGGCUUAAAGAGUGAAAUUUAUAGGAUAUUCCAUGUGUUAGGUAUGUUAGAAUUCAUGAGUCUCGAAGCGCCUACUUAUGAGCGCAUCACACUUGAAUUUUUUAGCACACUUGAAUUCCAUCUAGAGAAGCAGUGGAUUAACAUGACGAGGUACUGCUAUGGUACUCUUCGAUUUCGUCUUUUUAAUAAUUAUCAUGAGCUAUUUGUUGAGGAGUUGGCUGAUAUUCUCCGACUCCCACUGUACGGACCUGGUGCGGUCCCUAAAGGGUUGAUCCACAAGAUUUCUGGACUGCAAUUACUGGGAGGACUAAUUACACCUCCAAAGGUGCAAAAGCCUCUGGCAUCCAGAACCUGUGCUUCCUCUAUCCCCAAAAAGGUCUGGCGUAUACUAUGUUUGGACGGGGUGAUAGUACGGACGUGGCAACUCAACGGGAGUUGUUCUUCCUAUACUCAAUGGCACAUAAUUAGGCCAUCAAUGUUGCUGCCUUUGCAUCUAAUUACUUGGGGAGAGUUGGUCGGGCAGACACAGGUGGUAAUUUUGUUGGGGGUAUGAUUACCCAGAUUGCUAAACAUUUUGGUUAUCGUACGGUUUUGCUUAAAGAGACUACGGUGGCAGGUAAGACAACUUUUGAUAUGGCAACUCUCAUCCAAUAAGGUAUGAUUUCUAUUACACAUGAUUACUACUCUAUUAUGAUCCAUAAAAGGUUUAUCAUUUCACUACCUAAUCCUAACAGAGUAAGUGUUGCUGAUUGUGCUAAUUGGUUGUAUGUGAGUGCUGAUCCUGAUGCAGAGGAAGGCUACGAUGCUGAAAAUAUGGUUGCAGGUGAACAAAUGAAUGAAGACGAGCAGCAUCAGAAGCCGUUUAUACCCCCUGACCCAAGAGCCAACCAAGAAGGGAGCUGGGUCAUCAUCCAUGAAUUACGACCAGUGGGCACGGGUAAAAACCGAGCUCGGUGACCUUAAAACUAAGCAAUCAAGACAAGGCAUCGAGGAGGCCCAGUAAGGGGAAGUUUUGGAUGAGAUGAACCUGAUGAUCCGACAGUUGAUGUUGCACUUUCCGCACCAGCCUCCUCAGUAGGGCACUGUGAGUCACACUUCUUCUAUCUUGUUCUAAAACAUUAAGGUCAAUGUUUAGUUCAAGUAUGAGAGAGGUUUAAUUAUGCUUUUUGUUUUUAUGUUUUUUUUUAUUUCACAUUUUGUGUACUGUUUUACAUUUGGUUUGUCCGUUACUGUUGGGUAUCAUUUGUUGCAUGUAUUUCAGGUUCUUGUUGUUAUUGUUGGAUUAGAUGAUGACCAUUAGUGGUAGUGGAUGAAAUGAUCACUCCAUUUACUGUUGCUUGUUGUGAAUGAUCUUCCCAAAAAGUUGAUACUGCUAAAGGAAAGGAUUGGAUGCAACUGUCUCAAGCUCGACUAACAUAGGUUCCCUAUCAUUCUGAGCUAAGUAAGAAGACGCAUCAUACUAGAAGUACUGUGGAUUCUGUCAAACUUUACCUAACAUGGUGAGUGCAUAAAAAGCCAAACACAUUUGUCAUCAUGAACUAUAUUCAGGUAUGUCUUUAUCACACUGAGUUUGCGUAAUUUCUCUUGGAAUAUCACUGCAUAUAUAUACACACUGAGGCAUAUUGUUUAAGUAAUAUCCCUGAGCCUUUCUAGUGAUCCCUUUAAUAUUAUCCCUCGUUAACCCCGUUUGAGCCUGUACCCUUUGUUUGUAUAUAUAACCACAUGAAUGUAACUCGCGGCCCAAACACUUCCUUACCCUGUUCAGAGAAAAUGUUAUAUUCUUUAAGCUGUGUUAAAUUCUAAGUUUGGGGUAACCCCAUAAGUAUCUGAAAGUAAGGUGAGUCCGAAAAAAGAUUGAGAAAAACGAUCAUCGAAAAAAAAUGAAAAAAAAAGAAAAAAAAGAAAAAAAAAAGAAAUUCGAUGGAACAAGAAAAGCACUCACCGAAUGAGAAACACUCAGUUGGGUAUAAAUAAAUCAAAGAAAAAAAAGAGAACUGAGUAACAAACUAGAAAAAGAAAAGAAUGGGAAAUGAUAUGUUAGAACAAACACAGUGAAAAGAAUAAUGACAUUGACUCUGAACCCAAAAAAAUUUGUUUGUAUUUACCCCAUCGUAGCCCAAGCCCUGUUAUAACCCGAAAGACCUCAAAAAAUGUGUGUUGUGUGUAGUUGAUACGAAAGGAAAAGCUAUUCAAAUUUAGGAGUCAAUAUUGCAUAUUCUAAAAUGUGAGUGUAAACACUUUAACCCGGAGAAAAUUGGUGAGAGUGUGAUAUAAGCUGAAAGGUGAAGUAGUACGUCAAUAUGGAAGUGCGGCGAAAAACCAAUGAGGAAAAGCAGGGACUAUAAAAGGGAGCAUGAAGGUGUGUGGAGAAAGAUCUCAGCAGUAUUGUGGUAAGAAAAAUUCAGUUUUAGGAAGUGACACACUUUGUCGUUUAGAACAUUACAUGAGGACAAACAAUGAACUAAGUUUGAGGUUGUGAUCGGUCAUCAUUUCUACUGUAUUUUCAUUACUUAUUCGAUAAGAAACCAAGGAUUUUAGAAUACUUUAUUCGCAUUAUGUUACCUUUUAAGUUAGUUUUCAUUUCUGUAAGUUAAUUAAGUGUUUUAUCAAUUUUUAGUUUUAUUUUGUGUUUUCGGGAUUUUAUGUUUUGGUUGUCUGUUUUUAUUCCCUCCAGGUCCAAGUAGAAGAUCCAACGGACUCAAUGCAAGAAAGUCGAGAAUUCCAGUGUUCGAGGAAAGAAGUUAUGAAGUUUCAAGAAGCCUGACACGGCCACCAAUGUCACCUGACACGAGCCGUGUCAGGAUGGGGACCUAAUGAAGCUAAAGAGGAAGGCCUAGGCAGGGGCCUGACACGACCACUUGUGUCAGCCUACCUGGGAUGAAGCUGAAGAUGAGGACCAAGGAGGGGCCUGACACGGCCACCCAUGUCAGCCCAAGGGCAAAAUAUUCCAAUUUUUGGGCUUUUACCCGGACUAGAGCAACAAGGACGUUCUGGGGAUUUCCAACUAUUGCCAAGGGAUUUUACUAUUUUAGAAGAGUUUCUACGAGAGAUAAAGGACACUUUUUAGAGCAAGGAGAAAAUAGAGCACAGAGAAUUGUCAGACGAUCGAGAAUUAUAGAGAUCAAGGAAUUUGGAGAGCGGAAGAUUUUCAUGAGCUGAAGCAAUUGAAGAUCCAAGUCAUCCAAUUACUUGUAAUGUGUAAUUUUUAUCUUCAAUCUAUUUUUAACAAUAUGAGUAGCUAAACCCCCUAAUGCUAGGGGGUGUCCCUAAUUUAGAUCUGUAAUGACUUUGAGUUUGCGAUUGCAUUGAUAAUAUUGUUUUUCAUAAUUACGAUAAUCUUUUGAUGUGUUUAAUGGUUUCUCUUUCGAACCAAUUUAGAUUGUUGUAUGGUUAUCAAUUAUGCUUGACCGCCAUUGAUAAGUUUUUCAUAAAAUUACUCUGCAGUAGAUAUCACCUAGGACUAGGGAUACCUUGUAUGAACCAGAUGAGUCUUGAUAUAAUAAGGUUUAAUUUCACCGGUAAUUUCCUAUGGACAGAGAAAUUAGGGUUGGAUGAUUAAAGGUUUUCUCACCAAGACCUUGGGAGAAAAUACCCUUGAGAACUGGUAGUAGUUAAUUGAUAUUUGUUGAUGCAAUAGUGACUCAGAGUUGUUACAGGGACAAAUUAUACACCUUCCCUGGCAUGUUCCUUUUUCCUUGAAACCCUUAUUUUUACAGUGUUUAUUUUAUUUUCCAUUAUUUUUAUAAGUUUAAAUUAAAAAACCUCAACACUAGUUUUUGUUUAAUUGAACGAUGAUUUGAACUCGAUAUUAUCGCGCAGUCCUUGAGAUUGGAAUUCGAGGAAUUUCCCCUUUAUUACUACAAAAGGCAAAGUAGUACACUUGCUAUUUUUCCGAUCAAGAAUCAUUUGUGUUAUUUACUUUUAGCAGUGCAUUUUAACAUCCUUAUUAUUAUUUUUGUCUGAAGUUCUGAUAUUAGUGUUGUGAUAUUGCAUACAACAUCUGAUAUAUGAAUACUAGAAUUUCAAUUACUUUUGGAGCUAAUUCUUGUCUUAUGACCAUCUCCCCCAAAUUUAGACAAACAAUCUUACCAUAUUUUGUAUUGCCUUGAAUGUUGAUAAGUGUUCCAAUCAAACUAUCACACAUAUUUUUCUCCACAUGCAUCAUAUUAAGAUAAUCUCUUACAUUAAGGCUUGAUCAAUAAGGAAGAUCAAAGAACACUUACCUCUUUUUCCAUAUAUUUUCUCCACAAGCCCUUUUUGGUUAUUUCCAAAGACAACAUUAAUGUGAUUUUGUCAUUUAUAAACUUCCUCCUCAGUUAAGUUCUUUGUAGCAAUACCAAACUAUUAUUCAUCAUUAAAGGUCUUUUGCAAUCUACAAUAUGGAUGGUUGUGUCAUAGAAAACUUUGAUGCCAAAGGUAAAUAUUCUCUUUUCCAUUCUUUAUUUGGUGGAAGCAUAUAUUAGCUUCACAUAUAGGACAUUCUUUAUGUCCCUUAAUGUUGUACCCAACACUACUACAAAUAACACAUGUCCUAUUGGACGCGAAAUGGAAUUCACCUAAGUUACAAUGCCAAGGUAACAAAGGGUGACAUGAAAAGUGGGAACUUUACCCCUCGGUUUAAAAAUAAUCGAGGGGUUAUUUAAACAUUCUCUUUUCCAUUAUUUAAUCAGGAUACAACUCAUAAUCCUCACACAUGUGGAGGAACUUGUUCACGCGAUUUCAGUCCCCCUUUCUCACUUUAUAAAUAAAAACAUCCCUAAUCAUUUGAGAGGAAAGAAACAAUAACAUUGAAUCACUGUUAAAACCAUUCCCCACCUUACUCUGAGCUCAAGAAAAAAAAUCAAAACAUUAUCAUAGCCUCAUGUUAAAGCUCUGAUCAAGGCGAGCUUAGCUUAGCAAAAUACAAUAACACAACCUAUAAAGAAGCGCGAUGCACAAAAGAAGAAGAAGAGUACCAAGAGACAAAAAAUUUACCUGAAGACAGAUCAGAGUUGAAUUCUUUGCAAAUUGUGGGUAGUCCUCUUUCACCUUUACUUUUAUUAUGCAUUUCACUUUGCUUUGUUGCUUUGCCAUGAAUGUAGCUUGUAAAUUGCAUGAUUUAAUCGAUUGUUGUAGCCGAAUCUCUAAUGAAAAAGGGGUUUUGGGGUUAUUGGGAUGAGGAAUUAGGUUUGUGGUUUUUGAUAUUAUGUGUUUACUCCGUUUUACUCUGUUGUUGCAAUUGUUGUCAGCAUGAUUCAUGCUUCCGUUAUGCUUGUUUUUGUGGAGUUUAAUCUGUUAGAUGAGGGCGAUGUAUGUUGUGAAAUCAUGAUUAAGGUGUUGAUUUCAUUGAGAUGAAGUUUGUAGUGGCACUUUUAGGUUUAUUUUGGCAAAAAAAUUGUCUGGUUUAGGAAGAGUUUGAGAACACUUGAAAGAGAUGAGGCGGGGGAAUUAGGUUUUGAAAAUGGAAGGGGAAACCGGAUUCUGGGGUUUUAUGACAAGGGUUUGGCCCAACCCGACUUCAUAUUUGCUUGGCCCAAAUUGAUUCAUCAUGUUGGGUUUUUUAUUUCUUCUAAUUUUUUUUGCUAUGGCAUUACCCCUUUUGUAAUAUACCCCGUUGGCCCAUCAUUGUUUUGUUUUACUAUUUAUAUUCUUGGUUUAUUGUUUGCACCUAUUAUUAUGAAAGUGAAUUACAAAUAUAUUAAACACUUUCAAAAAAAAAAAGAAAAAAAAAUUAGAGUUUUUAUCAUAUUCAAUUCUUUUUUUCCUUUUAUUUGUUCUUUUUUCUUUAUCAUAAAGGAAAUACAAAAAUAUUAAAUACUGUUAGAUGGAUGAUUUAGAUUUCCCUUACCAAAUAAAGUUUCAAAACUACUUAGAAAUAAUUUUGACUCUUUGUUUGCUUGACUUGUUUAGUCUUUGGUGUUUGUGUAAAUACUUGCUUGUGUGUUUAUCCAUGAUUUAUUUAGUCUUGUAUUUUUCAUAAUUCAUUCAAACGUAAAUCAAAUGUUUGACCCAACAUCAAGCACUUUUCAUAAUCAAACUAAAAAGCAUUUACUCCAUACUUUGACCUUUUCAUAAUAAAUAGAGAAAAUGGCUACCUGGGUGAAAGAUCCAGUCAUAGCUCCGAUGUAUUAGGCCCAAGUAGUAAUUGCUUGCAAGUCAUAAAUACUUUGUCCUUCUCUAAAAAUACAAACACGUCACAACUUCAUAAUAAAUCAAAAGAAAAAGGCUACAUGGGUGAAAGGUCCAGUAAUAGUCCCAAACACCAAGCCCGAGUAGUAAUUGCUUGCAAGGUCAAGUGUUUAUCUUUCAUUAAAAAUACUUAUAACUACUCAAACACUUUCACAACAAAUUAAAAAGAAAAAGACUACCUGGAUGAAAGUUCCAGUCAUAAUCCUGACUAUUAGAACCAAGUAGUAAUUGCUUGCAAGUCAUGAAUAUUCGUCUUCCAAACCCUAAAACACACUUAAACAAAUAAAACCUAUCUUUUCUCGCCCCGUGCGAUCGAAACCCUUUUCAGAAAGAACAUUGUUUAGUCUGUUCUAAUGCGAAUGCAAACUAGAGCUUAAGCCUCCACCACGAGUAGACAAGCCAACAUUUAACCGUUAGAGCGCAAUCUAAACAAACCAACCAACAAAAACGUAGCCUUUCCCGAACUAAGAAGCUUUGAGUUCCUCAUUGUACCCGAGGAUACGUAGGAGCGAGAUCUUCAAUCUCAUUAAGCACCCUAUUAAAAAAAUUGAGACCCCUUUUCUUUUUUAUUUUGUACAUUUUAUCAUUCGAAGAAAACAAUUAACGAUGGCUAACAUUCAAUCGCAAAUCUAACUAAAAGGUUCUCGUUGAAUACAACAGACAUGAUGAGUGUUAAUGCUUUUCCCUUGCGUAAUCGACUCCCGAACCUGAAUAUGGUUGUCGUGACCAUUUUCUUUCUUAAAGGUUUUAUCAAUAUUUUCCCUUUCCUUCAUUGGAAUAAAUAAAUUUAUGUGGCGACUUUGUUCAAAUCAUUUUUUUCGCGACCAUCGCAAAGGAUUAUAAUUUUUGAGAUGCAACUAAGACAACAUGAGAAUCAUCAAAAUAGACGGAUAACACAUGCAUCUCCCAAUGUAGGGUGCCUAGUCACCCAUUCAUCAUAAUACACACCCAUUAUCUCUAUAAUUCGUCCUUUGAUUAAUCACUCGUCUUAUGGGUGGAUCGGACUCUGAAGGUGGUUCAAGCUAUGAAGGUGGAGCUUCUAAAGGUGAUCGUUCUUAUGAAGGGUUUUAAAGGCCAUAAAGAGUUAGACAGAUACCAAGGAGAUUUGCAGAUUUUGGAGUUGCUGCAAGUUGCUGAGAUUGAUUCUGAAGGAGAGGUCAUACAGAGUGCCAUGAUAGUGGAGUAUAAGCCUAUCAUAAUCAUUGAGGCUCUCAAGAAGAAGGUGUAGGUGAACUCCAUUAAGGAAGAGCUUGAGGCCAUUGAAAGAAACAAGACAUGGAAAUUGAUUGUUCUACCUCAGAACAAGAAAGUCAUCAAUGUGAUAUGGGUUUUCAAGAUAAAAUUGAAGCCAGAUGGUUCAGUUGCUAAGUAUAAAUCAAGGUUAUUAGCUAGAGGAUUCCUACAAAAUUCUAGUUUAUACUAUUUUGAAGUGUUUGCACCUAUAGUCAGACAUGAAACCAUAAGGUUGGUUAUUGCUAUAGUUGCAAAUAGGAAUUAGCCUAUAAUACACUUAGAUGUAAAUUUAGAUUUUCUAAAUGGUCCAUUGCAAGAAUAAGUUUAUGUGUUACAACCUCCUGAAUUUGUGAAAGAGAACAAAGAAGGGAUGAUGUAUAAGCACAUAAAGCUUUGUACGGGCUGAAACAAGUUUCAAGGGCUUGGAAUCUAAAGAUUGAUUCAUUUUUCAAGCAUCUAGGAUCCAAGAAAUGUGAAAUGGAAUUAAUAUAAUGUGUAUGUGCAGCAUACUUCUGAAAGUAAUAUGAUUCAGACGUUUCUUUAUGUGGAUGACAUACUUUUGACAGAGAGUUGUAUUUCUGAGAUAAACAAGUUCAAGAAGGUGCUGAUGAAUGCAUUUAGUAUGAAUGGCCUUAGAAAUAUGAUAUAUUUUCUAGGGAUGGAGAUUUUACAUUUUGAGAAGGGAAUUAUUGUGCAUCAACUGAAGUAUGAACUUGAUUUGCUGACGCGAUUUGAGUUGAUGAAUUGUAAGUCAACAGUCAACCCUAAUGAGACAAAUCAUAAACUGGACUCUGGUGAUGAUGGUGAGAAUGUAGAUGCUACAACAUUCAAACAGUUAGUUGGUUUUUUUAGAUAUCUGUCUAAAACCAGGCUUAACAUAUGUUAUACAGUUGAAAUGGUGAGUAAGUUUAUGAGUAAAGCAAAGUGGUCAUAUUACCAAGCUGUAGUCAGAAUUCUGAGAUAUGUAAAAGAAUCUUUGAGGCAUGAAAUUUUGUUUCAUCUGGAGAAUCAGAUAAUGUUGAUCUGAUAUGCUACUCAGACUCUGACUGGUGUGGUGACAAAAUGAACAAAAGAAACACUACAUGAUACACGUUUAUGUAUCUAGGGGCUCCUAUUUUUUGGUGUUACAAGAAGCAAUCAGUUGUUGCAUUGUCAAUUUGUGAAGCUAAAUAUAUAGCUGGUGUUUUGUCAAUCUACCAUAAAUCUUGCUAAGAAUUCAAUGUUGCAUGGAAGAAUACAAUCAGAUUCAUAAUGAAAUAUUUGAGGUUGUUCAUAUCAACACUCAUGGGCAACUUCCAGAUGUGCUGACCAAGACAAUCAAAAUUGAACACUUUAUUAAUUUAAAAGAUAAAAUUGAUGUUGUUGAUAGUUAAACUUAAAUGGGAAUUGUUCAAGUUAUUUUAGUUUUGAAUUUCAUUUGCUUUUAAAUUUCAUAUGUGAAUUUGAUUGUUUGUAUAAACUCAAAUUUAAUUAUAUUUAUAAUAGAUUUUAGUUUUGCAAUUUCGAGCAAUUUUAAGAUUAGAAAAUUUAUUUUUUUCAAUUCUCUGCUCCACCACUGUUGUUCAUCUUCUUGUAUAUUAAUUAAUAGAAAUUCAGUGUUAACUCUAACCAAAACUGGAAAAGAAAUAUGAAAGACAAAAUUUCUCUUAAAGAAAAUAGUGUAUUCUCUGCCACCACUGUUCUUCAUCUUCUUGUAUAUUAUUAAUUCUAACCCAAACCGGUGUGAUUAUGAAAAGAAAUAUGAAAGACAAAAUUUCUCUUAAAAGAAAUUGGCCUUUGAAAAAAAGAUAGUGUGAUGUAUUUAUCUUCAUUAUCAUAAAAGUUAUUAUCAAUAGAGUAAUAUUAUUUCUACAUCAAUUUUUUACACUAAUAUUUAUAUCAAAUAUUAUUCACCAUACAAUAGUAUUUUUUUAAAUAAAAUAAUAUUAAACUUAUUUUAAAUUAAAAAUAUUUUUUAAAAUUAAUUUUAUAAUAUAAUAUUUAUCAUUAAUCAAUUUUAAUAAAAAUACAUGUUAUUAAUUGCAUAUUUUCUGAUAACUUAUUAAUCAAUUUCAUUAUUUUAUUAAUUAAUAAAAUAUUUAAUAUUAAUCAAAUUCUAAUAUUAGUUUAUUAUUUAAUUAAUGAAUUUUAAAAAUUAGAAAAAAUAAAUAAUAAAAUAAAUUGGUUAAUAUUAUACAAUUUUAUAAACUAGUAACUACAUAAUAUUAAGCAAUUUUAUUUAGUAUUUAUUAUUUUUAAAUUUUCAAAAUUUAUUAAUCAAAUUAUAAAUUAAUGUUACAACUGGAUUAAUACUAUGUAUUUUAUUGGUUAAAGAAAUAAUAAAAUUAAUUAAUAAAUUAUUUAGAAAAUAUAUGGUUAAUAAUAUAUAUUUUUAUGGUUAAUAAAAUAAUAAAAUUGAUUAAUAAUAAAUGUUAUGUUUUUAUUACAAAAUUAAUUUUUUUUUAAUAUAUUUUUAGAAAUAAAAUUUUAAUAUUAUUAUUUGAUGUAGAUAUUGGGGUAGAAAAUGGAGUGUAGGAAUAACCUUACUCUUAUCAAUAUACACGGUGAUCGGUCCUGAAUCAAGGAAAAGUAAUACAAUAUCUCUCGUAUAGAGGAGGAAACAUAUAAGCUUAUAGAGGAGGAAACAUAUAAGCUUAUUGAAACACUACUUUUAUUUUCUAUAUACUAUAUGAUUACACGUACGUACACACACAAAAUCAUAGUCAUCAUCAUGUACAUACACGAGUGACCAAUCACAAUAUAGAGGAGGAAACAUAUAAGCUUAUUGAAACACUACUUUUAUUUUCUAUAUACUAUAUGAUUACACGUACGUACACACACAAAAUCAUAGUCAUCAUCAUGUACAUACACGAGUGACCAAUCACAUAAACAAAUAAUGACUAAUAAAUAAAUCGAAUUCCUAACCGCCUAAAGCAAGAAUUCAAUAAAAUAAAAUAAAAAUAUUUAUAGACAGACACGUCUAAGCUAAAACCAUGGAGACGAAUAUUCCAGCAAGAGAAGUAAUGGCAACAAAGGUAUUUGUGAUAGAGAAUGCAGCUGAGGGUGCCUCAGCUUCUCCUGGGUUUGAUGCUGGGCCAUUUGUUCCUGGUGCUGGUGGAGAAGAAGUGUUUGGAAUUGGUGAUGAAGGAGAUGGUGAUGGAGAAGAAGUAGUUGUAGGAGAGGGUGCUGGAGAAGUCUUUGUGGAGGGUGAUGGAGCAGGUGCUGAAUUGGGUGAUAAUGAUCGGGUAGGUGCGGGUGCAGGAGCCUGUUGUGCUAUGCAUGAAGUAGCCAACAACCCCAAUAUCACAAACACUUUGAUUGCAACAGAACCCAUGUUUUUAUAUGUUUUUUUGAUAGAGAAGAAUGUUUAGUGAAAUAUGAUUGAAUCAAUUAUAGAGAAGAAUGGACUAAGGUUAUUGAUUUGUGUUGUCCAAAAUAUAUAGUGAAAAAUAAAUAUGAUACUGGUGGUGUGUAUUUCAGCAAAGGCGGUUUGUGAUUAAUAAUGCUCUAUGAACAAGUAAUCAUUAAAAAGGUACUGAGAUCACUUAAUCCUCAGUUUGAUUACAUAGUUGUAACCAUAUAACACUUUAAAGAUACCAACAUCAUAAGAAUUGAAGAGCUUCAGAGUAGUUUGAAGGCACAAGAGUUGCGUAUGACUGAAAGAAACUCUGAACAAGUUAGAACAUGCUCUGAAAUCUCAGACUCUAAAAGCUUCUUAUGGAAAGAAGAACCAGAAGCAAACAUGGUUAGAGAAUAAGAAGAAUCUGCCUAAGAAAUUGUGGGGUGAUGAAAUUUCUACUUCAGUAUAUGUGCUCAAUAGAUGUCCAAUAAAGAAGUUAAAGGAAAUAGUUUUUAUUGAGAAGUGAACUGGAAGAAAGCAAAGUGUUAGCCAUUUUAAGGUAUUUGGUUCAAUAUGUUACACACAUAUACCAGAUGCUACUAGAAGGAAGUUGGAUGACAAAAACAAGGUUAUGUUGCUUAUAGUUUACCAUAGUACAUGUACUUAUAAGCUCAAUUGCCAAGUCACCAACAAAGUUGAAGUCAAUAGAGAUGUCAUAGUCAAAUAAUCAUAAACAUGGGAUUGGAGCAAGUCUCAAUCCAACUAUAGUGUAGUGUCAUCGCUAGAGUCUGAUUCUUCCUCUGAAGGAGAUUCUGUCUCUGAAGGUGAUUCUAAGAUGACUUUAAAUCUGAAAGUGAGUUUGGCUCUGCAGAUGACUUUGACUUUGAAGGUGACUCUGAUGGUGGAUCGGACUCUGAAGGUGGUUCAAGCUAUGAAGGUGGAGCUUCUAAAGGUGAUCGUUCUUAUGAAGGGUUUCAGAGGCCAUAAAGAGUUAGACAGAUACCAAGGAGAUUUGCAGAUUUUGGAGUUGCUGCAAUUUGUUGAGAUUGAUUUUGAAGGAGAGGUCAUACAGAGUGCUAUGAUAGUGGAGUAUAGGCCUAUCAUAAUCAUUGAGGCUCUCAAGAAGAAGGUGUAGGUGAACGCCAUUAAGGAAGAGCUUGAGGCCAUUGAAAGAAACAAGACAUGAAAAUUGAUUGUUCUACCUCAGAACAAGAAAGUCAUCAAUGUGAUAUGAGUUUUCAAGAUAAAAUUGAAGCCAGGUGGUUCAGCUGCUAAGUAUAAAUCAAGGUUAUUAGCUAGAGGAUUCCUACAAAGUUCUAGUUUAUACUAUUUUAAGUGUUUGCACCUGUAGUCAGACAUGAAAUCAUAAGGUUGGUUAUUGCUGUAGUUGCAAAUAGGAAUUAGCCUAUAAUACACUUAGAUGGUAAUUUAGAUUUUCUAAAUGGUCCAUUGCAAGAAGAAGUUUAUGUGUUACAACCUCCUAAAUUUGUGAAAGAGAACAAAGAAGGGAUGGUGUAUAAGCACAUAAAGCUUUAUACGGGCUGAAACAAGUUCCAAGGGCUUGGAAUCUAAAGAUUGAUUCAUUUUUCAAGCAUCUAGGAUCCAAGAAAUGUGAAAUGGAAUAUAAUGUGUAUGUGCAACAUACUUAUGAAAGUAAUAUGAUUCUGACGUUUCUUUAUGUGGAUGACAUAUUUUUGACAGAGAGUUGUAAUUCUGAGAUAAACAAGUUUAAGAAGGUGCUGAUGAAUGCAUUUAGUAUGACUGGCCUUAGAAAUAUGAUAUAUUUUCUAGGGAUGGAGAUUUUGCAUUCUGAGAAGGGAAUUAUUGUGCGUCAACUGAAGUAUGAACUUGAGUUGCUGACGCGAUUUGAGUUGAUGAAUUGUAAGUCAACAGUCAACCCUGAUGAGACAAAUCAUAAGUUGGACUAUGAUGAUGAUGGUGAGAAUGUAGAUGCUACAACAUUCAAACAGUUAGUUGGUUUUUUGAGAUAUCUGUCUAACACCAGGCUUAACAUAUGUUAUACAUUUAAAAUGGUGAGUAAGUUUAUGAGUAAAGCAAAGUGGUCAUAUUAUCAGGCUGUAGUCAGAAUUCUGAGAUAUGUAAAAGAAACUCUGAGGCAUAAAAUUUUGUUUCAUCUAGAGAAUCAGAUAAUGUUGAUCUGAUAUGCUACUCAGACUCUGACUGGUGUGGUGACAAAAUGGACAAAAGAAAAACUACAUGAUACACGUUUAUGUAUUUAGGGACUCCUAUUUCUUGGUGUUACAGGAAGCAAUCAGCUGUUACAUUGUCAAUUUGUGAAGCUAAAUAUAUAGUUGGUGCUUUGUCAAUCUAUCAUAAAUCUUACUAAGAAUCCAGUGUUGCAUGGAAGAAGCAAACACAUUGAUAUCAUUUUCUACACAACCAGGUUGAUAAUGAAAUAUUUGAGAUUGUUCAUAUCAACACUCAUGAGCAACUUACAGAUGUGCUGACCAAGACGAUCAAAACCGAACAUUUUAUUAAUUUAAAGGAUAAAAUUGAUGUUGUUGAUAGUUAAACUUAAAUGGGAAUUGUUCAAGUUAUUUUUGAAUUUCAUUUGCUUUUAAAUUUCAUAUGAAUUUGAGUUGAAUUUGAUUGUUUGUAUAAACUCAAAUUUAAUUAUAUUUAUAACAGAUUUUAGUUUUGCAAUUUCGAGCAAUUUCAAGAUUGGAAUUUUUUUUUUUUCAAUUCUCUGCUCCACCACUGUUGUUCAUCUUGUAUAUUACUCCCUCCGUUUCUUUUUAAGUGUCGUUUUAGAAGAUUUUUUUUGUUCCUAUUUAAGUGUCGUUUUGAUGUUUUAAUGUUACAAUUUGUCAAUUAUACCCUUACUAUUUAAAUUAAUCAAACUUUGAUAUUUUCCAUAAAUUUUUCUUUCUUAUAUAUGUAAUAACUCACUCCACAUUUUCCAUAAAAUUCUCUUUCUUAUACGUACUCUCAUUCCCAUACAUAACUCCCAUUCCUAUUCAAAGUAUUGUCUGGUCAAUAAAAAUUAAAUUCAAAUGAUAGCUUCCAAUGUUACAUAGAAAAAUGUAUUAGCAUUAAAUUUUGUCAAAGGAACAAAUUUACCAAUUGAAGACUUAAAAUUCUAUAAAAAGGAUCAGUAGCAUUGUUUAAAUUAUCAAAGUGCAAAACAAAAGAGCUCUGGUGGAAACAACAAAAGACUCCAUGGAUGUUCAAAAAAAGAAAGAGUGGGAAGACACAUGAAAUUAAAAAAAUAUACCUGUGUCAUUGUUGUUUCAACCUCCUCUUGUAAGUUAUCUUCACAGGACUCAUCAAUAUUAUUGGUUGCUUCAAACUCCUCUUCUAAGUUAUCUUCAUCAAACUCAUAUAACUCAAAUAUAUGUUGGUUUGUUAAUGAUGUUUCUGUAUCACUAUCUAAAUCCAUAUUUUAUGAGUUGUAAAUAUUUUGAACUUAUAUAUGAAACCAUACUAUAUGUUACACUGGUUUUAAUUUUUCGUGGGAAACUUAAGUUUUUAUUAAAUAAUGGAGGGAUAUUUUUUCCUUUAGCCAUUCAUUGAAACAAUAAGCAAUAAGUUUUCCUUUAGCCAUUAAUGAAAAUGCAAGCGUACGUAUCCUAUAGCAAGCAAUAUUAAUUCCAAAAAUUUAGGGGUAGUUGAAAAUGCAACGGAGAGAGAGAGGAGUUAUGUGGAGAAAAUUAUGGAAUAGUUAUUUGAAGUAAAUAAUUUAAUGAGUACUGUAUAGUUAAUGAAUUUUAUUUAGAAAGAGAAAGUAUAUGGUGGAUUAAAAUGAGGGUACAAUGGGAAAAAAAUUAUAACAAUUCAUUUAUCUUGGUUGGAGAGCUUUAUGCUAAAACGACACUUAAAAAGAAACGGAGGGAGUAAUUAAUAGAAAUUCAGUGUUAACUCUAAUCAAAAACUGAAAAAAAAUAUGAAAGACAAAAUUUCUCUUGAAAAAAAUAGUGUAUUCUCUGCCACCACUGUUCUUCAUCUUGUAUAUUAUUAAUGAAAAUUCACUGACUCUAACCCAAACUGGUGUGAUUAUGAAAAGAAAUAUGGAAGACAAAAUUUUUCUUAAAAAAAUAUUGGCCUUUUGAAAAAAAAUAGUGUGAUGUAUUUAUCAUCAUUAUCAUAAAAGUUAUUAUCAAUAUACACGGUGAUCGGUCCUGAAUCAAGGAAAAGUAAUACAAUAUCUCUCGUAUAGAGGAAUCAUAUAGGCUUAUUGAAACAACUAAUUUUAUUUAGUAUAUACUAUAUGAUUACACGUACGUAUACACACAGAAUCAUAGUCGUGAUAAAUUACAGAAACAAAUAACGACUAAUAAAUAAAUCGAAUUCCUAACCGCCUAAAGCAAGAAUUCAAUAAAAUAAAAAAUAUAUAUUUAUAGACAGACACGUCUAAGCUAAAACCAUGGAGACGAAGAUUCCAGCAAAAGAAGU